UUUAUGGUAUUUUGGAUCUAAAGGCAAGUAUUACCUCUAGAACUGUGUUGAUCAUUCUGGCUGGAAGGUUCAAGGGCAAGAGGAUUGUCUUUUUGAAACAUCUUUCUAUUGCCUUGCUUCUGGUCACUGGCAGCUGAAGAAGAAAGGCUACAUGAGGCGUUUGAAAUGCAAAGGAGAAAGCUUCCAGCCAAAUUGCACUCAAAAUCUUUUUAUUUCAAUGUCAUUACUCUUGGAAC